rnacentral:rRNA from 1 species
UGAGUAAGGCGACGGUAACCAACCCCACAAAUGGGCAUAGCCGCGGGAAACUGCGGGUAAUUCCCAGCGAUGUCAGUGAAGGGCAUCCUUCAUUGACCAAAGUUCCGGCGUUGUGGGACGGGCCGUUGUGGUAUUAGCUUGUUGGCGGGGUGACGGCCCACCAAGGCUGCGAUGCCUACCGGGCGUGCGAGCGUGGCCCGGCACACUGGGACUGAGACACUGCCCAG